CGGGGCUGGGAAGGAACUGGGUGCAGAGGAACCGGAUCCCGCCGUGAGGGGCGUCUCCAUCUCUGCUGACACUGCCCAGGGCCUCUCUUUGGAAGGGCGUCUGUCCCCAGGGAUGUCGGGUCUGAGACAGGUGACACAGCCAUCGCAUCCCCCUCCCCCAUUGGGGGGCUUAUCUUGUGGGCUGACUGCUAUGUGGGUUUCAUUCACAGGACCCAGCAGCUGGGGGACCCGCAGGGACCGAGGGCCCAGGGACGCAGCCCCCACAGGCCCUGUCUGUGCAGCAGCUCCAGAGGAAGCUGAAGGAGGCGGCCCGGGUGGUCCUCCGCCUGCGGCGGGAGAAAGAGCAGCUGCUGGAGCUGGGGAACAGGCUCCGUGCCCAGCUGGGCCAGCCUGCAGGGAAACCGUGUCACCCCUGCCCCAGCCCCGAGGCCCAGAAGCGCCCAGGCCCAGGCCCACCUCUGGGGCAGCUGCAGCCGCGCGUCACAGCCCAGGACGCUAGGAGCGUGCAGCAGGAGGCUUCCUCCGAAUUCUCGGGGGAGAGCCAGGCCCGGGGGGCGCCCGUCCGCAGACACGGUGCCCGGCAAGGCUGCGCGGGAGCCACGGGGAGGCCAGGGCAGAAGCAGCACAGACUCCCCACAGCGGCCUGCACGCCGGCUCGUCAGAAGGAGAACCGGUCCCCAAGGCCACAGGCCCAGGGAGCC